CAGCCGCCGCGGGAAUACGUAGGGUGCGAGCGUUAAUCGGAAUUACUGGGCGUAAAGCGUGCGCAGGCGGUUUGUUAAGACAGAUGUGAAAUCCCCGGGCUUAACCUGGGAACUGCAUUUGUGACUGGCCGGCUAGAGUAUGGCAGAGGGAGGUGGAAUUCCACGUGUAGCAGUGAAAUGCGUAGAUAUGUGGAGGAACACCGAUGGCGAAGGCAGCCUCCUGGGCCAAUACUGACGCUCAUGCACGAAAGCGUGGGGAGCAAACAGGAUUAGAUACCCCAGUAGUCCCUGUCUCUUAUAC
rnacentral:rRNA from 1 species